CAAUUUAUAAGAGCGUAUGGUGGAUGCCUUGACAUCACAUGACGAUGAAGGACGUUGUAGGGUGCGAUAAGCCUCGGGGAGGUCCCAAACAACCUUUGAUCCGGGGAUUUCCGAAUGGGGAAACCCAUAUACGGCAAACCGUAUAUAUCCAUGCUUGAAUAUAUAGAGUAUGGAAGAAGACCUAGGGAAGUGAAACAUCUCAGUACCUAGAGGAAGAAAAAUCAAUAAGAACUUCUCUUUUGUUUUGUCUGCGUUUACGCGGACACAACGAAAGUGAAGUACGUGAGAUUCCCCCAGUAGUGGCGAGCGAACGGGGAAGAGCCCAAACCUAUUGUGUGUUGGUGAUCGUAGCGGUUUAUCGCAAGAUAAAUUGAGGCCUUCACUUUAAAGAUUCAAGUCGUUGCACAUUAGGUGUUGUGAGAUAGAAACGUUACGUAACUUGAAAUGCGUAGAUGGGAGUUACGAUGUAAUAAAAGAAUGGCUUUGGAAUAGCCAACCAUAGAGGGUGACAGUCCCGUAUUUGAAAUUAUUUUCGUACACCAUGGUUUUUACUCUCGAGUAGGACGGGACUCGCGAAAUCCUGUCUGAAGCUGGGUCGACUAUGAUCCAAGGCUAAAUACGUUUGAUGAUCGAUAGUGAACUAGUACCGUGAGGGAAAGGUGAAAAGUAGGCCG
rnacentral:rRNA from 1 species